rnacentral:misc_RNA from 1 species
ACAGAUGCGCUUAGUUCCUUGACUGGAAUUAUUACAGUAUAUUUUCGACUUUCAUAUUUCUUAAAAGCAGAAUCACAUUCCUUCGUAAAUGUUUUCAUUCACUAACUUAUUAGCUGGCAACGCUCCUGUUAUCGAAGAUGGCGGGAGAAAAGAGUAUAUGUUAAAGCAUUCUAUUAUUCUAUUAGUAUUAAUACGUUUAUUAUCCAUAAUUCAGUUAUCUCUGAAAGAAAAAAGAAUUACUUUAUUUUUAAGCGGAUCUAGUAGUAAAAAAUAAAAACAAUUUGGAUUUACGCUUUUAAAUCGCUUUCGUCAAUUUUUCACUCCGAGAAAUAUUUCAUAAAUCCUUUCAACAAUGGCACCUAAAAAGGCAAGAUCUUCAAAAAGGAAAACUGAAGAGACAGAAUCCAAAUCAUCAAAGAAAAUUAAAAAAGAAGAAAAGUCUGAACAAGUAAAUGAUGAUAAUAUUGCUGAAUCAAACAGUUUUACAUCUGAUGCAAAAUCUCUAACCGGGAAAAAAUGGAAUCUUAAAAUUUCUUCAUGGAAUGUGAAUGGAAUUAGAUCAUGGCUUGACAAAGGAAUAGCAUUCCUAAAAGAGGAAAAUCCAGAUAUUCUCUGUCUUCAAGAAACUAAAUGUGGAGAUAAUGAAAUUCCUAAGAAAAUUAAAGAUUUUGAAGGUUAUCACAAAUAUUGGCUUUCAGGUGAUCAAAAAGGCUAUUCAGGUGUAGGCCUUUUAACCAAGAAAAAACCUUUGGAUGUCACCUAUGGAAUUGGUAAUAAAGAACAUGAUAAGGAAGGAAGAGUUAUAACUGCAGAAUAUGAAGAAUUUUAUAUUGUUAAUGCUUAUGUUCCAAAUGCAGGAAGAGGAUUGGUUAGACUUGAUUAUCGAAUGAAAUGGGACAACGAUUUCCUACAAUAUUUAAAGGAAUUAGAUUCUAAGAAACCUUUAAUACUGUGUGGUGAUCUUAACGUUGCACAUAAUGAAAUAGAUCUUGCAAGACCAAAAUCAAACAAGAAAAAUGCAGGUUUCACCAAAGAAGAGCGAGAGGAUUUUACAAAACUGUUGUCAGAAGGAUUUUUUGAUAGUUUUAGAAAAUUGUAUCCAGAUACAGAAGGAUGCUAUACUUUUUGGUCAUAUAUGAUGAAUGCAAGAGGAAAAGAUAUUGGAUGGAGACUAGACUAUUUUGUAUUAUCAGAGCAACUUGAACAGAAUCUUUGUGAUAACCUUAUUAGAAAGAAAAUUCUUGGUAGCGAUCACUGUCCAAUAACUCUAUUAAUGAGUUUUUAAAAUUUGAAACACAUUAAGCAGUAUUUCAAGAAAUCAAGAAUUGAUAGACAUUUUAUUUCAUCAGAAUUAUAUUAUUAGUUUUUUUGGUCUGGAAUAAAAUGAAAUAAUAUUCUACUCUAACACAGCUGAUAAAUGUGUGAUGAAAAUAAGAGUAAAGAUAAAUGCAGUGUAAUGAGGACAGUUAAUCCUACAGUCAAAGGAACAAGAUUUUAUACAAGACUUAUAGUAAUGAAGAUGAUCUUUUGUAUUAUGAUAUGCAUGAUGAAAGUUGACUGUAAGUAAGCGAGAAGAAAGUGGACGG